rnacentral:rRNA from 1 species
UACGAGAGGCCCAACCGUUAUUCGGAUUUACUGGGCUUAAAGAGUUCGUAGGCGGCGCAGAAAGUAGGGUGUGAAAGCCCUCGGCUCAACCGAGGAAUUGCGCCCUAAACUACUGUGCUUGAGGGACCUAGAGGUGAGCAGAACUGAUGGUGGAGCGGUGAAAUGCGUUGAUAUCAUCAGGAAUACCGGAGGCGAAGGCGGCUCACUGGGGGUCUUCUGACGCUGAGGAACGAAAGCCAGGGGAGCGAACGGG